GAAUGGUGAAUCCAUUGCUGUUUGGAGGAGUGAAGUGGUAUAAUUUUUUUUAAAGGCUCCCCAGGAACCAUCAGUGGAACAAGUUACUGGGAAUGUGUUGAGUCUCCUUAACUGGGGAGAGGACCCAAGGAUGUUACCAUUCAUGUUGAAGAGUGUUACCCCCGUGGAGAGCACAGACCUUAGGAUUAGGAUGUUAUGAGGUCAGGAUUGACUGGACAAAGAUGGAUGAGCAAUGGUAAGUACCAUUCAUCAGUUCAUGAUGAAUAUUCGUCUCUCAUGGAAAGACAGAUUAUCUGUAAAGUCUUACCAAUUAGGCCUGCAAAGGAAACAAAUACAGGUGUGGUCCAACUGGAGGAGUAAGAAAACACGGAUGGCAUUUGAAAAGACCCUGAUGCUGGGAAGGAUUGAAGGCAGGAGGAGAAGGGGACGACAGAGGAUGAGAUGGCUGGAUGGCAUCACCGACUCCAUGGACAAGAAUUUGGGUGAAAUCUGGGAGUUGGUGAUGGAUAGGGAGG
rnacentral:lncRNA from 1 species